rnacentral:rRNA from 1 species
GACGAACGCUGGCGGCGCGCUUAACACAUGCAAGUCGAGCGAAGCGGCGGACGGGUGAGUAACACGCGAGUAACCUGCCUUAGACAUUGGGAUAGCCUCGGGAAACCGGGAUUAAUACCAAAUGGUCUAAGAUGGACUCGCGUCCCAUUAGCAAGUUGGUGAGGUAACGGCCCACCAAGGCGACGAUGGGUAGCCUGCCUGGGAGAGUUGACGGCCACAUUUGAGCUGAGAAGCGGUGCAAAAUCUACGAGAGGGAGCAGUGGGGAAUGUUGCACAAUGGAGGGAACUCUGAUGCAGCGACGCCGCGUGAGCGAAGAAGGCUUUCAAGUAGUAGAGUUCUUUUAUAUGGGAAGCGGUACCAUAAGAAAAAGCCCCGGCUAACUACGUGCCAGCAGCCGCGGUAAUAC